AUGACGACGAAGUGAAAGACGAUGAACUUUGCUUAAACGGUCUUACAAAGUUGGAAGAUGAUUAUCGAGGUGUGUUUAAACCUUCGAAUUAUUUAAUAUUGUGUGUAUUCAUUAUUUUGUUUUAUAGAGGAUUUGCCGUAAGAUCCUAACGCGAUCGUUUUAACACAAUCGCAGUCUGGUGAGUCAAAUGAUUCUCAUUUUACAAGAAAAAAAACAUGCGGUAUACAAUACAUAUAUACAUAUAUUUACUUACAUCUCCGGCUCGCUCGUCUCCCUUAAAGCUGGCGGGUCCGUCAACGGCCGUUCCAGGCAGAGGAGAAGGCUUGAUUGCGCCAAAGACUCCAGACAUCGAAUCCUUGCUCCGAGGGGAAAUCAUCGAAAACGACGGUGAAUGUCCGACAGGCACCCGCUAUUGGUAGCACUGGACAAGUCGGAUAUCCUUGCUUGGAUCCUUUUAAAGUUGCCCGAUAAACUGCUGAGAGUUGAUCUCUCCUCUUGUCCAAAGGUUUUUCGUUCAUUUUUACUUGUAAUACUGGCACUAGGGUUGAUGUAGUAGCUCCACAACAUAACCUUAAAGCCUGUGACUGGAUCCGGUCUAUUUUCCCAAGUCAUGUUUUUGAAGCAGAUUGGUAAAUAAUGCAUCCGUAAUCAAUAACAGAUGGAAUUAAAGUUAUAAAUAUAUACAUGUAUUGUUUUCAACGUUAACCUAUCAGCCCCCCAAUCAUUACCCCUCAAAGACCUCAUUAUAUUUAACACCUUUUUUACUUUUUCCCCUAUUUUUUUAUUUUCCGGAAGGAACACUCCUGAAGGAAUAAAUAAAGUACUAUCUAAUCUAAUCUAAUCAAAUCUAUUUUGCUGAUGUGGGUUGACUAGUUCAUAUUUUUAUCAAACCAUAUUCCUAAAUAUUUAAAUACUUGUACCUCUUCUAUAUUUUCACCUUAGAGUUUUUAUUUGGAGCUUGUUUGGUACUUUUGUCUUUGUAAAAUGUAUGACUUUUGUCUUUCCAACAGAGAAUCUUAAACCUCAA